GGAAAUUCUGACUUCUGUCCUUUCCAGCAGACCUCAUUAUCCAAGAACAGUCAUUGAAUAGUUCAUUGACACCUUCUCAACCAGGAAGGCUGUGUUCUCAGCGCUGCUAUGAAAGUGGAGAAGAUGGACAAGAUAGUUUCUCUUGGGAAGCUGAGACUAUGGGGCAAGCAGACACUCAGAUGACCAGCAGAGAGCUUCUCACUACCAGUCUCCAGCUGCCUGUCUCUGGUGGAAGAAGGAGACUGUUUCCAGAAGCCCAGAGCUUCUAUCACAGAGAUGCUCUUUGAUGGGGACCAGGCUGGAGUUCCAGUGGCCAGAUUGGCUACAACGAGAAACUGUCCUGUGGGCGGGCCCUGUGCUCAGUGCUCACCACCAGCAGGGCUUCCAGGCGCUGCAUGUGGACAAGGGGAGUUUGGACAGGACCUCCCAG